GGAACCUCAAUCAACUCGAAUUGCAUGGCGAUGAUCUACCAGUAGAGGAAGAAGUCACUGAAUCUGUACAUACGAAUGCAAACACGAAUAUCCAAGUGCAAGCUGCUUAGUAAGAGUAGGCAUUUUUAAUGGUGUAAAUAUGUAUUUUGCCUGUCAUUGUAAGAGAGAAGAAUGUAUUGGACCGAGCAUACCAAAAGUAGCUAAGGAUACCUGUAUUUCACAUUGAAAUUAAAACUGCUAGUAUGAGCAAAUUUACCUCAAGGUUUCUCUUUGUAAUGCACGUAUAAUUAUAUAUGGGCAAGUUGUUUAACCUUCCCUUUGCAAGAAGAUGGGGUUACUUUGUUUUCAUAUUUGGUCUUGCCUCCCAGCACAAGAUUUU
rnacentral:lncRNA from 1 species